rnacentral:lncRNA from 1 species
UCCAUUUCCCCGAACCAUCGCUUGGAUGAUGAAGCACAUCGCAGAGUACUGCUUCAUCACCAUUCAGGAAUUGUACCCUUUUAAAUUUCUAUAUGGGUAUGCGCUGCUUUUGACACAGCUUUUGUUGUAAGCAGGCACUAAAAUAGAAGCUUAUAAUUAGCUAUCUGGGGAGGCAAGUGUGUGGUAGAACAGAGCUCAGCAAGAGAAAAGUCAAGGCAGGUCCUGGGGAAACACUGCAUGGAAGAUGAGUAAUACAGAGCCCAAGAGUGGAUUGGCAGGAAGGGUGCAGGACCUAACCCAAUGACAAUGCUCGCAGGAGGAGCCCUCCAGAAGGCAACACUGGAAAUAAAGCUCCAUACAUAGCUCGGUACUAGUAGAUCAGCAUGUUAACUAGGUUAAUUCCCAACUGUCCUACCACCAACUACCUAGCACGAGGCUCUCAACAACCUGCAGCCAGAUCCCAGGUGGUCCCAAUGGCUACAUUCAUUGAAUACAGCCUGAGCAAUACUCUCACUCCACUCUUCACUCAGCUGACCCUGUAUUCUGUGAAUUCUGCCCUAGCUCCAAACCUCUUGGUACAAAGGAACUCUCUACGUUUAGUUCUCUCGACAACUACCUACUAUAAGAUGAAGUUUCCAGGAACUCAUGUGAUCAUGAGACUCUGCAGUCACUUCAGGGGGUCUUGUUGACUGGCUCGGGGGGCUGGUGUCAAGCCCAAGCAGAAGAGCCCUCAGAGCAAGCAGCCCUGCUUCUGUGGAUGCUGGAUGGCAUCAUCACCAGGCGGGUCCUUCAGAGUACUGGGAGCAGCAUGCAGCCCGAUAGAGUUGGCAAACGUGAAUCUACUAGAAGAUUGACAUGGAGAUCGAGUAGGUAUUCUUUUUAUUAAUAUUCCGUCAUCAAACUGUCUUUACAAAUAUCUACCUUCAUUUUGGCUCUUCCCUAGGUGGUAACUAAUACAUCUGACUAGUAAAUCAUGUCUAAUAUAUAGGACUUCAUAAUGUGUUACAUAGCGCUUGAUGCUCAAAUGCAAACGUCCUGUUUUUUUGGGUUUUUUGUUGUUGUUGUUGUUGUUGUUGUUGU